UUUAGACAGCUAGUUUUAUUGCAAAAGCCAAAGCUUUAUUUUGAUACCCCCAAAGUAGAAGGCAAACACUCAAACAUGGAUGUGAGAUGAAAUCAUAAACAUGCAAAUAGCAAAACACACAGACACACAAAUUAAGUGACGUCGUUUUCUAUCAUCUGCAAUCACAUGCUUUCCUUUUCAGCACCGCUCUUUGCAGCAUCAUAAUCACGGCAGCACCAACAUAUCCCUUGACCACCACCAACAUUUAAGCAUUCGCCUCCAUGAUACUUGCUGUCCACUGCCCUGCAUGGUACAUCGCAAGUAGAGAUCGUGUCCGCGAGUCUACAUAAACCCUUUCGAGAUAUGAGGAGGAUGGAGAGACAAACGACUAUUGCAAAUGUGCUCAGCUUUAAGCUCCCCAUUACUUGCUGAUCUCUUAGUUCUUCUUAGCUUCUUUCUUUUUUAGCAAUAGUUAGUUGGGAGAGAGCUUAACCAAACAUGCAAUUUUAUUGUAUUCUAUAUGUAAACUCGCACGCUAGCAACUGCGACCCGUAAUAUACGGUUAGCGACUUCGAUCAGAUUUUACUAUAUAUUGUUCGUUUUACUAUUGCUGUAACUGGUCGUCGUUUAGGUUGUUCGUUUUACUGUCGUGUGACUAGCUGUUACGACUUCAUUGACAUAUGUUUUCUUAAAUCAAAUUCUUAAAAUUUAUAUAUAGUUGUAAAUUGUAUAACUAAUUUCACUCCGAUCCGGUUCCCGAGAAGAUUUUCAAAUCUCAGAUCUGGAUGCAUGGAGGAGAUAUUUUAAAAAUAGUUGGAUUAUUAUACUUCUUUGUAAGUCGUUCCAUUCACUAUUUCCUUUUAGAUGCGAUCAGAUAUUUAUUAUACCAACUCGAAUUGUAUAUUACUAUAUUAUGAC
rnacentral:lncRNA from 1 species